CAGCCUCUUCUCCCCUCCCCCAAACCCCAGCACGGCGUCCGGGUGCAAAGCAGGGACACAAGCCCCGCCCCAUCUCUCCCGACCACGCCCCUGCUCCCCGCCCCCUUCCCUCGCUGGCCCCGGCGGCGCUGGGGGGAGCCGGGGGCUCCUGAGGUUGCUGCCCCUGCCCGGGGCUUGCGAUGAGUCGGUGCCGCGCCGGGGCCUGCUGCUGCCCCGCACUGGCUGGGUAGACUCUUCCCUCGGGCUCCUCGGCGCACCCCCCGCCCAAACCUCAGCCCCCCAGCUUCUCAAGUCAAGCUUCUGCUGCUUUUGAGCCAGUGUGGAGAGCAGAGGGCGGGUCUGAUGUGCUCCCAGCAGCCUUCCCUCGUCCCCUAUUAAGAAUGAAGGAGAAAAUCAUGUGGUGGUCUUUGGGUGAAAAAUAAAUCUAUAAAGCCAGAAAGAUGAUAAGCAAAGACCAGAUUUAAUCUACAAGGAGGCAGCAUUGCGCGUGCUAGUUCCUCAAAUGGAUGAUAUGGCGCGGGGUGUGUGCGCGCGUGUGUAGUUACAGUAUAUGGUGCUUUAAAACAGGAUACAUGACUGAUGCUGGCUGAUGCCUAUGGUUUACAAAUUUACAGACAUUGGAAGAAAAUCAUGGAAAAGUUUAGAAGAUAAAUGUCAUACAUUUUGCACUGAAAUUUCUGUAGUGAAAAUAGACGACCUCGCCCCUCGCGCCCCCCCCCCAGGUAGCUGCUAUUACUUUCUCUACAACUUGUUUCCUCUGGACUUGUAGUAGGAAUCCACUGCAUUUGAGUAAAGCAGAAAGGCUGGAGGUGGAUCAUUGCUCUUGCCCUUGAAAAUGGCUUCUGAAGCAAGCAAGGCAGUUCAUAGCAUCAAAAUUAUUCGCACUUCUGAACAUGCAGCUGGUUCCUUAUUCGGCCUCUCCAUAGUGCUAAAUGUUUCCCCUUUAACAACAUAGUCACCAUCAGAGCGUGGCAUGGUUUGGAUUGUGAGUUGUGGCUUUAACUGCAGACAGCAAGAAAGCCUCUUCAGAUCCUUACUUACAAGCUUCCAUCAUGGAGUGCAUAUUACUCUAUAAACAGAAAUUUGAAGAUGCCAGACACUAGGUGGAAUGUGGUAGAUUCUUCAUGAAAACAUCCAUCCUGGGUCAGACCAAUGGUCCAUGUAGCCAGGUGCUUCAAAGGGAAUGAACAGAACAGGGCAGUUAUUGAGUGAUCCAUCAUUCCCUGUCAGCCAGUCCCAGCUUCUGGCAAUGGGAGAGUAGGGACACUCAGAGCAUGGGGUUGUAUCCCUGGCCAUCUUGGCUAUCACAUUUGUUUCCUUGCAAUCCACUAAUAUUUUCUUAUAAGAAGUAAGCAGCAAGAUCAAGUGUCCUCCUGAGAAGUUCUCCAGUGGUUUAGUGCCUAUAUUAUUUUUAUAUGUUAGUUGUCAAAAUCUGACUUUGUAGAUCUUAAAAUAAGCUUUUUUUAUAUUCAGAAAAGUAUAAUCAAACACUUCGGCAUCUGUCUUACGAGAUAUAAAGAUUUAAAAUGUUACUUACACCUUUUUUGUGACUGCAAGCUGCACUUCAACUAUAAUUGAAGGUAUCUGUGUUAUUUACAAUGUGUUAUUUGGAAUAGGCCUUUUUCUUAAAUAAAAGGGAUACUGAAUAAAGA